CUGACCGAGCAUGCAGAAGUCGGCUACGUGCGUUUCCGCCGGCGCACCGCGCAUAUCGAACGCACACACGCGCUCUCUACGCUAAAACAGUGAUCGCAGGUACGAUGGACGUAAGCUGCAGUACGCGACAUACGAGGGGCUCGAGGGUUGGCUGAAGCAAAGUCCUUGCCACCUUGUUGCUGGAUUCAGGUGCUUUACAGACUCCCAAACUUCUUUUGACCAAACAUUUAGAUACGUCGAAAGGAGUCGCAUCACAAGAGAGAAAUUCUGCGGGGAAGCUGUUUUUUUUUCAAUUUCAUCCUGAAUGAAAUAAACGAAACAGAAAUUUUCAA